CAGUAGGGAAUCUUCCACAAUGGACGAAAGUCUGAUGGAGCAACGCCGCGUGAGUCGAAGAAGGUUUUCGGAACGUAAAGCUCUGUUGUUGGUGAAGAAGGAUAGAGGCAGUAACUGGUCUUUAUUUGACGGUAAUCAACCAGAAAGUCACGGCUAACUACGUGCCAG
rnacentral:rRNA from 1 species